rnacentral:rRNA from 1 species
AUUGAACGCUGGCGGCAUGCCUUACACAUGCAAGUCGAACGGCAGCACGGGAGCAAUCCUGGUGGCGAGUGGCGAACGGGUGAGUAAUGUAUCGGAACGUGCCCAGUCGUGGGGGAUAACGUAGCGAAAGCUACGCUAAUACCGCAUACGAUCUGUGGAUGAAAGCGGGGGACCGUAAGGCCUCGCGCGAUUGGAGCGGCCGAUAUCAGAUUAGGUAGUUGGUGGGGGAAAGGCCUACCAAGCCGACGAUCUGUAGCUUGUCUGAGAGGACGACCAGCCACACUGGGACUGAGACACGGCCCAGACUCCUACGGGAGGCAGCAGUGGGGAAUUUUGGACAAUGGGCGCAAGCCUGAUCCAGCAAUGCCGCGUGCAGGAUGAAGGCCUUCGGGUUGUAAACUGCUUUUGUACGGAGCGAAAAGGCUCUCUCUAAUACAGGGGGCUCAUGACGGUACCGUAAGAAUAAGCACCGGCUAACUACGUGCCAGCCGCCGCGGUAAAAC